CCUACGGGAGGCAGCAGUGAGGAAUAUUGGUCAAUGGACGAGAGUCUGAACCAGCCAAGUAGCGUGAAGGAUGACUGCCCUAUGGGUUGUAAACUUCUUUUAUAUGGGAAUAAAAUGUUCCACGUGUGGGAUUUUGUAUGUACCAUAUGAAUAAGGAUCGGCUAACUCCGUGCCAGCAGCCGCGGUAAUACGGAGGAUCCGAGCGUUAUCCGGAUUUAUUGGGUUUAAAGGGAGCAUAGGUGGAUUGUUAAGUCAGUUGUGAAAGUUUGCGGCUCAACCGUAAAAUUGCAGUUGAAACUGGCAGUCUUGAGUACAGUAGAGGUGGGCGGAAGUCGUGGUGUAGCGGUGAAAUGCUUAGAUAUCACGAAGAACUCCGAUUGCGAAGGCAGUUCACUGGACUGCAACUGACACUGAGGCUCGAAAGUGUGGGUAUCAAACAGGAUUAGAUACCCUAGUAGUC
rnacentral:rRNA from 1 species